GAUCCUGGCUCAGAAUCAACGCUGGCGGCGCGCUUAACACAUGCAAGUCGCACGAGAAAGGGGAGCAAUCCCUGAGUACAGUGGCGCACGGGUGAGUAACACGUGGGUAAUCCACCCUUUAGUGGGGAAUAACCCUGGGAAACCGGGGCUAAUACCGCAUAAGCCUGAGAAGGGAAAGCAGCAAUGCGCUGAAGGAGGAGCUCGCGGCCGAUUAGCUAGUUGGUGGGGUAACGGCUCACCAAGGCGACGAUCGGUAGCCGGCCUGAGAGGGCACACGGCCACACUGGCACUGAAACACGGGCCAGACUCCUACGGGAGGCAGCAGUGGGGAAUCUUGCACAAUGGGGGAAACCCUGAUGCAGCGACGCCGCGUGAGCGAUGAAGCCCUUCGGGGUGUAAAGCUCUUUCGACGGGAACGAUAAUGACGGUACCCGGAGAAGAAGCUGCGGCUAACUACGUGCCAGCAGCCGCGGUAAUACGUAGGCAGCAAGCGUUGUUCGGAAUUACUGGGCGUAAAGAGUGUGUAGGCGGUGCUCUAAGUUCGGUGUGAAAUCUCCCGGCUCAACUGGGAGGGUGCGCCGGAAACUGGAGUGCUGGAGCGCGGGAGAGGAAUGCGGAAUUCCUGGUGUAGCGGUGAAAUGCGUAGAUAUCAGGAGGAACACCGGCGGUGUAGACGGCUUUCUGGACCGU
rnacentral:rRNA from 1 species